rnacentral:rRNA from 1 species
GACGAACGCUGGCGGCGUGCUUAACACAUGCAAGUCGAACGGGAUCCGGGCUUUCGGGUUUGGUGAGAGUGGCGAACGGGUGAGUAACACGUGAGUAACCUGCCCCCUUCUUUGGGAUAACGUCGGGAAAUCGGCGCUAAUACUGGAUAUUCUUGCUGCAUCGCAUGGUGUGGUUUGGAAAGGGUUUCUGGUGGGGGAUGGGCUCGCGGCCUAUCAGCUUGUUGGUGGGGUGAUGGCCUACCAAGGCUUUGACGGGUAGCCGGCCUGAGAGGGUGUCCGGCCACACUGGGACUGAGACACGGCCCAGACUCCUACGGGAGGCAGCAGUGGGGAAUAUUGCACAAUGGGCGCAAGCCUGAUGCAGCGACGCCGCGUGAGGGAUGACGGCCUUCGGGUGGUAAACCUCUUUCAGUAUGGAACAAGGAUCCUUCUUGUGGGGGGUUUGAGGGUACGUGCAGAAGAAGCGCCGGCUAACUACGUG